CAACGAGCGCAACCCUUAUCUUUAGUUGCUACCAUUAAGUUGAGAACUNUAAAGAGAUCUNCCGGUGAUAAACCGGAGGAAGGUGGGGNNGACGUCAAGUCAUCAUGGCCCUUAUGGGAUGGGNUACACACGUGCUACAAUGGGGGGUACAAAGAGCAGCCAACUGGCAACAGUGCGCGAAUCUCAAAAAACCUCUCGUAGUCCGGAUCGGAGUCUGCAACUNGACUCCGUGAAGUCGGAAUCGCUAGUAAUCGUGGAUCAGAAUGCCGCGGUGAAUACGUUCCCGGGCCUUGUACACACCGCCCGUCACACCAUGGGAGUGGAUGCAAAAGAAGUAGGUAGCCUAACCUUCGGGAGGGCGCUUACCACUUUGUGGUUCAUGACUGGGUGAAGUCGUAACAAGGUAACC
rnacentral:rRNA from 1 species